UACGAAGGGGGCUAGCGUUGCUCGGAAUCACUGGGCGUAAAGCGCACGUAGGCGGCUUUUUAAGUCAGGGGUGAAAUCCUGGAGCUCAACUCCAGAACUGCCUUUGAUACUGGGAAGCUUGAGUCCGGGAGAGGUGAGUGGAACUCCGAGUGUAGAGGUGAAAUUCGUAGAUAUUCGGAAGAACACCAGUGGCGAAGGCGGCUCACUGGCCCGUUACUGACGCUGAGGUGCGAAAGCGUGGGGAGCAAACAGG
rnacentral:rRNA from 1 species